UCCGAGUUGACCCCGGCAGUAUCCCAUGAGUUCCCACCAUUACGUGCUGGCAACAUAGGACGAGGGUUGCGCUCGUUGCGGGACUUAACCCAACAUCUCACGACACGAGCUGACGACAACCAUGCACCACCUGUAUAGAGACCUUGCGGGGCGACUGUUUCCAGCCGUUUCCUCUACAUGUCAAGCCUUGGUAAGGUUCUUCGCGUUGCAUCGAAUUAAUCCGCAUGCUCCGCCGCUUGUGCGGGCCCCCGUCAAUUCCUUUGAGUUUUAGCCUUGCGGCCGUACUCCCCAGGCGGGGAACUUAAUGCGUUAGCUGCGACACGGAGACCGUGGAAUGGCCCCCACAUCUAGUUCCCAACGUUUACGGCAUGGACUAC
rnacentral:misc_RNA from 1 species